rnacentral:tRNA from 2 species
AGAAAUAUGUCUGAUAAUAGAGUUACUUUGAUAGAGUAAAUUAUAGAGGUUUAAAUCCUCUUAUUUCUA